GCCACCCUAGCUCAGUUGGUAGAGCAACUGAUUCGUAAUCAGUAGGUCGCCGGUUC
rnacentral:tRNA from 1 species